UACGUAGGGGGGCAAGCGUUGUCCGGAAUCAUUGGGCGUAAAGAGCGUGUAGGCGGCCCGGUAAGUCCGCUGUGAAAGUCCAGGGCUCAACCCUGGGAUGCCGGUGGAUACUGUCGGGCUCGAGUCCGGAAGAGGAGUGUGGAAUUCCGUGGUGUAGCGGUGAAAUGCGCAGAUAUCAGGAGGAACACCAAUGGCGAAGGCAGCUCGCUGGACGGUACUGACGCUGGAGGCGCGAAGCGUGGGAGCGA
rnacentral:rRNA from 1 species